ensembl:lncRNA
AUGGGUCGUCAUUUGCCCCAGGGCCUUGUGAAGCUCUGGAGUCGCUUCAAGCGUUGGAGAAACCGGAGGAUCCAGCCGGAGCAGCCGGUGGGCGAAGGUGGUCCAGAUGGGCCUAACGGCGUCCACGUCCAUCCUUCACCCACUCCUCAGGUGGGUGACUCAUACACACCCCAUCCACCUUCUCCUCCACGCUCUCUUGUUUUUUGGUCUGCUGGUCCUUCUGUUUCCCCUUCACCCCCUCCUGUUCCUUGUUGCUUUGAUGUUCUUGCUUUUUCUCCUUCACCCUGUCCUACUCCUUCUUUUUCUUCUUCUUCUUUCUCACUCUCUUCUGCUUCCUCUGGUACUUGGUGCUCUGACAUCUUUCCCUUUUCUCCUUACCCUUCUCCUACUCCUUCUUCUUCUUCUUCCUCACUCUCUUCUGCUCACUCUGCUUCUCUGUGCUCUCCUCCUCACUCUCUCAUCUCUCCUUUUUCUUCUCCCUCGCCCUCCUCUGCUUACUCUGGUACUUGUUGCUCUGCUGUCCUUCCCUUUUCUCCUUCACCCUCUGCUGUUCCUAGUUGUUCUGCUGUCUUUCCUUUUUGUCCUUCACCCUCUCCUACUCCUUCUUCUUCUUCCUCACCCUCUUCUGCUUACUCUUGUCUUUGUUGCUCUGAUGCCCUUCCUUUGUCCCCUUUACCCUCUCCUGUGACGGAGAGAGUGAAGGAGCUCAUCCAGCAGCUCAUCUUCCAGGAGAGGUAAGGAAGACAGUGAUGAGGAGGGGGCUGCUCUUGGAAGACUCAACUGUGGGACACUGUUUCCUACAGUGAAACCAGUCUUGGAUUUGACCCCAGGGCACCUUUUUGUAGUUUUAUUUCUAUACCAUAAGUUUAAAUGUUCAUUCCAACUUUGAGAACUAGCCUUUGCGUCUGGCUGGGCAGUUUUCAGGUCCCCGGCAGCGUCUGGCGCUGGGACCUUUCUUUCUUUCCUGGAUGAACACAAGUUUAAAUGUUAAUUUUUACCCUGAGAACUAGCCUUUGCGUCUGGCUGGGCGGUUCUCAGGUCCCAGGUAGCGUCUGGCACCUGGGCCAGUUUUUGCUGUUUUUUAUAUUUUAGCAUGGCGGUUGGAUGGACUUUUCUUUCACCCUGAAGGCUGAGUUCAGCGCCUGGCAGGGCCGUCGAUCCCCCCAUGCAAGUUGCCCUAGCGUCUGGCGGGGUAGCUAUUAUGUUUCCUCCACAGCGAUAGAAGGUCAGCUCAGUCACAGUGGCACUGGGGACACAUGUCGUCUCCCACUGAAGCUCCUCGGUGGCAGAUGACUGCAGUGUCAGGUGUUAUGGAGGAGACACAUGGCUGUCUGCAGUCCACAUCCUGCUCCACACUACAGGGAGCAGUGACUGACGGCUACUGACCAUUACGUCUGUCUUUCCAGUGGACAAAGGUGAGUACAAGAUUUGGUUUGGUUGACAGUUUCAAAGGAAGUAGUUGAAUAGAAAUAUAUUUAUAUUUAUUAUGUUAAAUUUUAUGUGAGAUUAAAUAUGAAUGAGUUUUUUAUUACAUGUAGGCUUAAUUAAAUGAGGAGAGGAGGUUGGAGGCCAACAGCAAACCAGAAUCAGCUCCUGCUGAAUGUAAAUUAUUCAUUGAUCUGUUGUUUUUGCAUAAUAAUUGUUAUAUUCAGGCAUUUGCUAUUGUGGUCUUAUUAGUCCAACAAUUGAUUUUAAAGAGAGUAGUUGAGUAGAAAUAAAUAUGUUUGUAUUACAUUGAAAUUUAAAGUG